rnacentral:rRNA from 1 species
UACGUAGGGUGCAAGCGUUGUCCGGAAUUAUUGGGCGUAAAGAGCUCGUAGGCGGCUUGUCACGUCGGGUGUGAAAGCCCGGGGCUUAACCCCGGGUCUGCAUUCGAUACGGGCAGACUAGAGUGUGGUAGGGGAGAUCGAAUUCCUGGUGUAGCGGUGAAAUGCGCAGAUAUCAGGAGGAACACCGGUGGCGAAGGCGGAUCUCUGGGCCAUUACUGACGCUGAGGAGCGAAAGCGUGGGGAGCGAACAGG